rnacentral:rRNA from 1 species
CGGACGGGUGAGUAACACGUGGAUAACCUACCUAUAAGACUGGGAUAACUUCGGGAAACCGGAGCUAAUACCGGAUAAUAUUUUGAACCGCAUGGUUCAAAAGUGAAAGACGGUCUUGCUGUCACUUAUAGAUGGAUCCGCGCUGCAUUAGCUAGUUGGUAAGGUAACGGCUUACCAAGGCAACGAUGCAUAGCCGACCUGAGAGGGUAAUCGGCCACACUGGAACUGAGACACGGUCCAG